GAAGCCGCGGCGGCGCCAGCGACCGCUCGCCCGCCCGGCUGCUCCUGCGACUCGCGGGAUUAGUCUUCUGUCCGGCUCGCGGCAGUGCACUUCACCGAAGGACGGCGAGAGCAUGGCGGCGACGGCAGAAGACGGGCCCCGGCGGGGUGUGCAGCUGGAGGCCGUGCUCGUCGCCGAUCGACAGCCCGACGGCGACGUGUCAGUAGCCAAUGGGAAACAAUCGGACACAUUAUUCUCAAAUGUUGUACAGAGGGCUCGUGAUGCCUUUAAUAGUGGAAAAACAAGAUCUGCAGAUUUUCGUGAAAAACAACUAAAGCAGCUCCUUAAAUUGUAUGAGGAGAAUGAGGAUGCUAUUGUUGCUGCAUUAUCUUCAGAUCUGAGGAAGAGUAAACAAGAGACUAUGCUGACUGAAGUAGAACUUAUGAAAAAUGAUGUUAUAAAUUUACUGAUUCAUUUUAGAGAUUGGAUGAAACCAGAGAAGCCUGAGAAAGGACUUGUUUAUCUGUUGGAUGAUGUUGUCAUUUAUAAUGAACCUUAUGGUGUUGUUCUGAUUUUGGGUGCUUGGAAUUACCCAUUUCAAUUGGCACUGUUGCCUGCUGCUGGUGCUAUAGCAGCAGGUAACUGUCUCGUAAUCAAACCAUCAGAAAUGUCUCCACACACUUCAAAGCUUGUAGCUGAAUUGGUUCCAAAAUAUCUUGAUCGGGACUGUUUCCAUGUUGUCGAGGGUGGCGUGCCUGAAACAAGUGAACUUUUGAAAGAACAUUUUGAUUACAUUUUUUACACUGGCUCAACACAUGUUGGUAAAAUUGUGGGAGCAGCAGCUAAUGAACACUUGACACCAACAACUUUAGAACUGGGAGGUAAAAGCCCAGUUUACUUGGAUUCUACAGCAAAUAUGGACAUUGCAGUAAAACGAAUUCUUUGGGGAAAGUGCAUUAAUGCAGGUCAAACAUGUGUAGGGCCUGAUUAUUUGUUGUGUACUAAGGAUCUAGAGAAGCGAUUUAUUGCAAUAGCUAAAGAGGUGCUUCGGGAAUGGUAUGGAGAUAAUCCAAAGAAUUCACCUGAUCUUGCUCGAAUUGUUACUGAUCGACACUUCCAGAGGUUACAAGCAUUCCUCAGUAAUGGAACUGUUGCUAUAGGAGGUGAAACUGAUCAGUCAGAAAGAUUUAUUAGUCCAACAAUCCUCACUGAUGUUAAACCAUCAGAACCUGUUAUGCAGGAAGAAAUUUUUGGACCAAUUCUUCCUAUAAUAAAUGUGGACAGUGCUUUUGAGGCUCUCAAAUUCAUAAAUAAUCGACCGAAGCCUUUGACACUUUAUAUUUUUUCAACUGACAAAACUGUACAAAAACUGUUUCUGGAGCAAUCAAGUAGUGGUUCAGUCUGCAUCAAUGACACAGUAUUGCAUUUGGCAGUUGAAGCACUUCCUUUUGGUGGAGUUGGAUCUAGUGGAAUGGGGGCAUAUCAUGGUGUCCAUACUUUCAACACUUUUACUCACAAGAAAAGUUGCUUGGGGAAAAACUUCAAUCCUUUAGUGGAAAAACUUAAUUCGAUGAGGUACCCACCUUACUCAGAGAAAAAAAUAAAUCUUAUAAGUUUUAUAAUGAAGAAACGCCGUGGGAUAAGUUUCAAAUAUAUAAUCCAUUUUAUAAUGUUUGUGUUGGGUGUUUUAACAACUGUUGCCAUCUGGGGAAUUGUGCAGUAAAAGUACAUUCUUGAAGCCUGCUGAAUGGCCCCAAAACAACAGCCCAUAACUGACGUGGCUGUGGAACAUUGCAUAGUACACAGUUAGAAGGCAAGCCAAGGAGGGAACUGAGAGAUUUUAAAUUCUAUUACCUCAGAAGGUGACAUACAGUAUCCAGGAAGAGUUCUCUUUCAUUUAAAUAGUAAUACUUAUUAGGUGCUGCAUUAAGAGUGGGAUUUAGUACAAUGGAUGUCAUAGCAACCUGCCAGUUUCUACAGAUGCGUUACAAGUGUCUCACUGGUACUUAAGGAAGAUCACUCUUCCUGGUGCAAUUUACCUGAUUUUAUUUACUGUCUCAAAGUAUAGUGAUACACAACAAUCAAAACUUUUUGAAGCUGUACUUCGCCAAAGAAGUACUUGAAUUAGAUCUGUAGAAAAUCUCUUUGAUAUUGGUAUUGUUCUGUAAUAAUAUUGAUUCCAAUUGUAUAUACAUUGUAAAUAUUUUAUAAUAUGUAAAUAAUAUACAAGUAAGUCAGUUACUGCUGUGUUGUGGAAAAAUGCUGGGUUUUGAUGUAAUAGUUGUAUAAGCAAACACCACCAGCAUUUAUUUAACCUGUUAAGUAAAAUGAAUACAGUAACUUAUCUAUAA